GGUCGGCAGGGCCAGGUUUAGGCUGAGGAGGCUGGCUGGGGUUCAAUGCAGGCGGGUCGGUGGCCUCCGAGGCGGUGCGUGUUUUGGGCGGGUGAGGCGGCGCUUCCCCCUCCGCGGCUCCGAAGGGAAUGCCGAGGGCUGUGGGGAACUCUGCGUGGAGAAAGAGGGCCGGGCGAGUGGGACCCGAAUGUCUCGGGAGCGUGGCCGAAAGGAAUGACUUCUUCCGUGAGUUCUGGGGGGGGGGGGGUUAUAUAAACCCAGAGGCAAAAAUAUUUGCACCUUUAAAUUGAGUGUGAUAAGAGCAACAAUCUUCACACAGGCACACGCGCACACAUUUACCAAAGUUCAGACACUAGUGAAAGACUGGCUCAGAAAAAAAUUCAAUCUAACCCUCUAACCUUUAUAAUCUAAAUAAAAA